GUGCUCUCUUUGGCAACAUAUAGAUUAAAACUGGAAUGACACAGAGAUCAGCAUGGCCCUUGAGCAAGGAUAACACACAAAUUUGUGUUUUUCUGGCAUUCUCA
rnacentral:snRNA from 1 species